UGGUGGCUCACACCUGCAAUCCCGGCACUUUGGGAGACCGAGGCGGGCUUGAGGUCAGGAGUUCGAGACCGGCCUGGCCAACAUGGUGAAACCCCAUUAAAAAUACAAAAAUUGGCUGGGCGCGGUGGCUCACGCCUGUAAUCCCAACACUUUGGGAGGCUGAGGCGGGCGGAUCACGAGGUUAGGAGUUCAAGACCAGCCUGACCAACAUAGUGAAACCCCAUCUCUACUAAAAAUACAAAAAUUAGCCGGGCAUGGUGGCAGGCGUCUGUAAUCCCAGCUACUCGGGAGGCUGAGGCGGAAGAAUCGCUUGAACCGGGAGGUGAAGAUUGCCGUGAGCCGAGAUCACGCCACUACACUCCAGCCUGGGCAACAGAGCACGAAUCCAUCUCCGAAAAACAAACAAACAAAAAAACGAAUGUGUGAGGAACGCAGCAAAGCCUCUACAGUUAACGUUUGCCGCCCUCUGCCCCUCAGGCACUCCAGAGCCGCGAGCCGCCUCGCACAGCCGGCGCGUUUCUUCUGCUCCCCCGGAAGAGGGCACGGUCUCCUUCCUGGCCGCUGUCUGCCGGCCGUACCGCACGACAGCUGGCAGCACCGUCAGCCACUGCUCGGGAGCUCGGAAGAUGCUCUAGCUCCGCGGCAAGUGUAGCGAGCCCGCCCAACCCUGGUGCAGGAGCCAUUGCAGCAAAUUGACAGGGAGUCCUCUGGGUUUCACCAUGUUGGCCAGGCUGGUCUUAAACUCCUGGCCUCAAGUGAUCCACCCACCUAGGCUUCCCAAAGUGCUGAGAUUACAGGUGGGAGUCGCUGCGCCUGGCCUUGUCCUCCUCUUUUUAGAUAGCCCUGCAUGGGGCCUAGUAGUGUACACCAGUAGUCCCAGCUACUUGGGAAGCUGAAUUGAGUGGAAGGGCCGUCCUGGGCGCAAACCGCCCAGGAGGGGGUCUGGUGGCCCUGCCCCACUCCCACAGACAACAGCCAGAAGGCCGGCGUCUGCGCCCCACUCCCGCAGACAAAGGCGCGCGCCCGUCCCUCACCUGUGCACGCGCCUCUCCACUCCUUCUCAUCUCCUGCCUGCCGGCUGGAGCCUGAGGCCUCACCCUUGCCGUGCGCUUGAGGGGCCCAGAAAGGCCUGCUGAAGGGAAAGCCUGCCCAGAAAGAGAUGCUGUGCUGUCACAGGCCUUCUGGCGCUGCCCGGCUGCAGACAGCAUCUCCCCAAAACUGAUGGGCCCAAGUAGGGGGUGAGGCUCUGGAAACGGGGUAAAAUAAAGCAGUUUCAAGAAGUCCCCCUGGGUCGGGGGUCCGCCCCCUGCCUGGGGGCUGCCAGAGCUGAGUAGGCCUGUCUCGUCUUUCCCUGAAA
rnacentral:lncRNA from 1 species